rnacentral:rRNA from 1 species
GUCAAUGGCCAUACCAUCAUGAAUUUACCUGAUCCUAUCUGAUCUUGGAAGUUAAUCAGAGUCCAGUCUAGUUAGUACCUAAGUGAGAAAAUACAUAUGGAAAGCUACUAUUUUUU